rnacentral:rRNA from 1 species
GAUGAACGCUAGCUACAGGCUUAACACAUGCAAGUCGAGGGGAAACGAUAGGGAAAGCUUGCUUUUUCUAGGCGUCGACCGGCGCACGGGUGAGUAACGCGUAUCCAACCUGCCCAUCACUUGGGGAUAACCUUGCGAAAGUAAGACUAAUACCCAAUGACGUCUCGAGAAGACAUCGGAAGGUGAUUAACGAUUUAUCGGUGAUGGAUGGGGAUGCGUCUGCUUAGCGUGUUGGCGGGGUAACGGCCGACCAAGGCGACGAUCAGUAGGGGUUCUGAGAGGAAGGUCCCCCACAUUGGAACGGAGACACGGUCCAAACUCCUACGGGAGGCAGCAGUGAGGAAUAUUGGUCAAUGGACGAGAGUCUGAACCAGCCAAGUAGCGUGCAGGAAGACGGCCCUAUGGGUUGUAAACUGCUUUUAUAAGGGAAUAAAGUGAGUCUCGUGAGACUUUUUGCAUGUACCUUAUGAAUAAGGACCGGCUAAUUCCGUGCCAGCCGCCGCGGUAA